GAGUUUGAUCCUGGCUCAGGAUGAACGCUGGCGGCGUGCCUAAUACAUGCAAGUCGAGCGGAAACACUUCGGGUGUCGAGCGGCGGACGGCUGAGUAACACGUAGGAACGUACCCAAACUGAGGGAUAAGCAUCGGAAACGGUGUCUAAUACCGCAUGUGCUCUAAGGAGUAAAGCUUCGGCGGUUUGGGAACGGCCUGCGCAUGAUUAGCUUGUUGGUGAGGUAAUGGCUCACCAAGGCUUCGAUCAUUAGCUGGUCUGAGAGGAUGACCAGCCAGACUGGGACUGAGAACGGCCCAGACUCCUACGGGAGGCAGCAGUAGGGAAUUUUCCACAAUGGGCGAAAGCCUGAUGGAGCAACGCCGCGUGCAGGAUGAAUGCCUUCGGGUUGUAAACUGCUUUUAUAUGUGAAGAUUUUGACGGUAACAUAUGAAUAAGGAUCGGCUAACUCCGUGACAGCCGCCGCGGUAAC
rnacentral:rRNA from 1 species